rnacentral:tRNA from 2 species
UGGGGCGUAGCCAAGUGGUAAGGCAGCGGUUUUUGGUACCGCCAUUCGCAGGUUCGAAUCCUGCCGCCCCAGCCA